rnacentral:rRNA from 1 species
CAACUUUCAACAACGGAUUUCUUGGCUCUCACAUCGAUGAAGAACGCAGCGAAAUGCGAUAAGUAAUGUGAAUUGCAGAAUUCAGUGAAUCAUCGAAUCUUUGAACGCAAAUUGCGCCCUUUGGUAUUCCGAAGGGCAUGCCUGUUUGAGUGUCUU